CACUCUGCUAAAAUGAUGUCUUAUCUCAAUGACUAUAGUCUUUUAGGGAUGAAGAGAGGUAGGAUUCAGUCAGGUUAAACAAUAAGAACCAAAAUGAUGACCUAUUUCCUAGCUCUCUGCUCACCUGGAUAGUCAUUUGGAUAGUGAUGACUUCAGUCUCACCCCUAGCUCUAAUUUUUCCUUCUCACUCUAUUUGUCAGGGAGUGAAAAGGAGUCUAUUCAAUGUGCAUUGAUUGGAAAGAUAGAAACUAACUCACAAGUCAUGCUACAGGCACCCUUCCAGGGAGAUAGACUUCUCGCCACCCCCAAGAAUAUUAUUACGAGAGUAUAUAAAUCGCAGACAGACAACAGCUGAGCAAACCCAGAGAAUGCUACCCAACAUGAAGAAUUCAGCCUUUCUCAGCCCCAAGUGAGGCAGAAGUUUCAAACGGACUCACUGAACAAUUACUGCAGAAGGUGAGUAUUGGAUCCAUUUUAUUAUAAAUAGGAAUUGCCCUUGAAGAUUCUGAGUGUGACAAGUCAUAGUUUUAUGACAAAAGUGUUGAUCAGUUUGUACAUGGAAUGGAUAGAGUACUCAGGCCAAACAGGAGAUAGCCAGAACCAAAGGUAAAUUAUGCUCUUAGGUAGUUUUGUAUCACAUUCACCUCCUAAAUGUUAUUCAGCUUCUUUGGCAGAGGUUUUAAAAUUAUUUUAUAAUAAAAUGCUC
rnacentral:lncRNA from 1 species